rnacentral:rRNA from 1 species
AAUCAACGCUGGCGGCGUGCCUCAGACAUGCAAGUCGAACGAUUAAAGCUCUCUUCGGAGAGUGUAUAGAGUGGCGCACGGGUGAGUAACACGUAAGUAAUCUACCCUCGAGUGGGAUAACGUCCGGGACGGACGCUAAUACCGCAUAAUGCAGCGGCACCGCAAGUGACAGUUGUUAAAGGAGAAAUUCGCUUGAGGAGGAGCUUGCGGCAGAUUAGCUUGUUGGUAAGGUAACGGCUUACCAAGGCUACGAUCUGUAACCGGUCUUAGAGGACGGUCGGUCACACUGACACUGAAUAACGGGUCAGACUCCUACGGGAGGCAGCAGUCGGGAA